rnacentral:rRNA from 1 species
GCCUACGGGGGGCAGCAGUAGGGAAUCUUCCACAAUGGGCGAAAGCCUGAUGGAGCAACGCCGCGUGGGUGAAGAAGGUCUUCGGAUCGUAAAACUCUGUUGUUAGAGAAGAAAGUGCGUGAGAGUAACUGUUCACGUUUCGACGGUAUCUAACCAGAAAGCCACGGCUAACUACGUGCCAGCAGCCGCGGUAAUACGUAGGUGGCAAGCGUUAUCCGGAUUUAUUGGGCGUAAAGGGAACGCAGGCGGUCUUGUAAGUCUGAUGUGAAAGCCUUCGGCUUAACCGGAGGAGUGCAUUGGAAACU